rnacentral:rRNA from 1 species
UACGAAGGGGGCUAGCGUUGCUCGGAAUCACUGGGCGUAAAGGGUGCGUAGGCGGGUUUCUAAGUCAGAGGUGGAAGCCUGGAGCUCAACUCCAGAACUGCCUUUGAUACUGGAAGUCUUGAGUUCGGGAGAGGUGAGUGGAACUGCGAGUGUAGAGGUGAAAUUCGUAGAUAUUCGCAAGAACACCAGUGGCGAAGGCGGCUCACUGGCCCGAUACUGACGCUGAGGCACGAAAGCGUGGGGAGCAAACAGG